UUUGCAUUAAUUUUUGGAUCACUGGAUAUAGUUUCAAAAAUAUUGUUACUCAUUUGUGAAUAAGGAAGACGCGAGAUCUGGAAAAUUUAAUGUGACUGUAUCAAUAUCAGUGAUAUAGAUUAGGCAUUUAAAAUUAAAAAAAAUCCACACUAUUCAAAAAAAGGUGAUCAUAAUUUUCAGCAUUUAAUUAGUCUGCUUGACAUUUACUAGCCAGCCGAAAAAAUAAACACGUAUUUGCCAAUCAGAAAAUGCAAACGAAAUCAGCAACAAAAUGCGAACUCGUAAAUGAAUUAAACUGAAACAGAAACCUUGUAAAUGAUCAUUUUAUGCAUGAUCAAUAUCAAUAAAGAUCAACACCUUGAAUGUUAGUACUAAAUUUCAAUGAUUUAACCUUUAACAUAAACAAAAAAUCUAAAGAAAAUUUUUUCGCACUGUUUUUAUGGGACUAACAAACUCCAAGAUUAGGUUUAGACUUUUGUAGCCAAAAAGACAGAAAUGACGGCUGAAUAGCUUCUUGAACACUUCAAAUGUCCAAUUUCACUUGAAAUCAUGUCCGAUCUUGUUAUCCUCUCCUCUGUGCUGGGCUUCAAAUGUUGUAGGUGCUGGAAGAUAAAGUAACCCGUGUGUCCUUACUCUGAUUUGGUGCGCAAGGAGCAAGUUAUAGAGCAGUCAGGCUCACGGGAUUCUAGUUCUGAAACAUUGGCUGACAUUAGAGCAUGUGAGCCUGCUAGUCCGGUUUCCCUCAGAGGCUGUUUCUAAACAAGAGAACAACCCUUUUCCGUUUUCUCUUUCAAAUGUUGAACUGAUUACAGAACCCAAGUUAGAGUUUGAUGCAGAGCAGUCACAUUCACAGGCUUCGAAGAAAAACCAUUCUGGAGAAGAUUUUGGUUCUGGAACACUGGCUGACACAAGAGCAAUCAUGAGUACGAUCUCUAAUUGAAACCAUUAAAUGUAUAACACUAAAUGAAGAAAAAAUAUUGAUUCCUAAAAUAUUAUAAAAGCAAAAAGUAUUUUUGAUUCACGUCAGAAAAUAUUAAUUUUUUCAAUGUCUACACUAAAAAAUGUAGAGUUGUAUACUAUAUACUAGAAUCUCAGCCCAAACUCACAACCAGCACCUGUAUCAAAGCAACAGAAUAUAGAUAUUAGAGUAAAACAAGUAACAUGCUAAUUUCAAAUAGAUUAAUAUUACAAGGAUUACUUUCAUUUUAACUUGACAUCUUUCAUGAUUUCUUUUCAGUCUCUCUCCAAAUCCUUGCCCAGAGAUUUUUUUAAAUACAUAACACCCAGGCUUAGAUUUUAUUGGCUAACAUUAAAUUCAGAACAAUUUCUUGAUAAAAUCUAAGGGUGAUUAUUCUGUCAUGUCAUUCUUCAAUCUUUCUUGAUAUAUAGCAUUGCUCAUAUGGAAAAUUUGAAUGUCAUUUAACGCUAAACAUAAAUAUAAUAUCUAAAGAAAAUUUUUGAGUACCGUUUUUAUGAGGCCAUAGUUUUGAGAAUUCACUUUUUUAAUCAAAGUAAUCACACUUGAUGUUGAGAAAGAACAAAAGAACAAUUUCAUGAGUACUACACCAAUGAAAUCUAUUUGUAGAUGACCACAAGAAAUCGAAAUCAUUAUCAAGGAAUAGCAUCCAAUUUCUACAAUGAAGCUGCAACAAUAUUAGCAGAAAUUAGAAGAAAAUAGAUUACCAAUAAAAAUGAAUACAAGCAACAAAAAAAAACUGAGGAAAGUGGAAUCAGAUCAGAUCUAAGGCAACAUACCAGGGAUCACUCAUGGCAGCUUUUUGUCUACAUUUGGUGGAAUGCAAUGAACAACAAAAUGUGAAAGUAAUAAUUUGUGAGAGGGGUGAUAGCAGCCGCAGAUAAUAGUGUGAGAAUGAGUAGCAGCAGCAAGUGAAAAGGGUUACAUUGAAAACCCUAAUUAUCUAUUAUAUAUAAGAGUCAUUGUUGC
rnacentral:lncRNA from 1 species